GGGAUACCUUGGCUGACAAACCGAUGAAGGGCGUGGCAAGCUGCGAUAAGCUUAGGGUAGGUGCAAGCAACCUUCGAUCCUAAGACCCCCGAAUUGGAUUCCACCUCAUGUCCAAAAAGCAUGGGGAUCCUCAGUAGAGGAAGGGAACCCUCCGAACGAAAGCAUUCCAGUAGGAGGUGGAAAAGAAAGCAAUUGCGAUUUCCCUACUAACGGC
rnacentral:rRNA from 1 species